rnacentral:rRNA from 1 species
CAAGUCGAACGGUAGAGUAGCAAUACUCGAGAGUGGCGAACGGGUGAGUAAUAUAUCGGAACGUGCCCAGUCGUGGGGGAUAACGUAAAGAAAUUUACGCUAAUACCGCAUACGAUCUAAGGAUGAAAGCGGGGGACUCUGCAAAGAGCCUCGCGCGAUUGGAGCGGCUGAUAUCAAAUUAGGUUGUUGGUGAGGUAAAAGCUCACCAAGCCGACGAUCUGUAGCUGGUUUGAGAGAACGACCAGCCACACUGGGACUGAGACACGGCCCAAACUCCUACGGGAGGCAGCAGUGGGGAAUUUUGGACAAUGGGCGAAAGCCUGAUCCAGCAAUGCCGCGUGUGGGAAGAAGGCCUUCGGGUUGUAAACCACUUUUGUACGGAACGAAACGGUCUGCUUUAAUACAGUGGGCUAAUGACGGUACCGUAAGAAUAAGCACCGGCUAACUACGUGCCAGCAGCCGCGGUAAUACGUAGGGUGCGAGCGUUAAUCGGAAUUACUGGGCGUAAAGCGUGCGCAGGCGGUUAUAUAAGACAGUUGUGAAAUCCCCGGGCUCAACCUGGGAAUUGCAUCUGUGACUGUAUAGCUAGAGUACGGUAGAGGGGGAUGGAAUUCCGCGUGUAGCAGUGAAAUGCGUAGAUAUGCGGAGGAACACCGAUGG